AACCAGGAAGAUCCGGAUAAAGACACUGUCUGCACUCUACUCAGAUGCCCUUUGAGUCUAUGCGCUGUUUCUGGGCUCAUCCUCCAGCCUCAACGUGUUUGCUGCCACACAGCAUGUCCUGUGGGACUGGAGAAAUAUGGAGAAUGCAGCACACUUGCUUCCUACUGAAGUAGGUGUGCCACACUUGGAUGCCAAGGAAGCUGCACUUGUUUUCAUUAAUUACUCUUCAAACACAACAUCCAGCAAACUUAAAUGGGGAGAUUCUCCUGGAUGAUUCUAUAGCCCAAGGGGCUUUCUCCCUAAGCCAUAUAUUGUGCCGCC
rnacentral:lncRNA from 10 species